AUGGUGCUCAAUAAAUAUCGAGUGGAGAGGUGGCUUUCCUCCGUAGCCUCCUCGUCUCUCAUCGGGGUUUGGCCUCUCUCCACGGCGUCUUUCGUCGUUCUUGGAUCGAAUUGUCGAUUCGGGAGAAAUGGCAGACAAAGAGAAAGACUGUCAAGAGAAUCAUGUUGAUGGAAAUGACUGGGAAGUUGUUUCUCUUUCAGCAUCCAUGAUGGCUUCUGCAGCUGAUCAAAUGGGAUUCGAUCCAUCAAAUGUGAGUAAAGAUAAGGAGUUCAAAAAAAGUGAAACAGAAUCUUCUCCUUUAAUCAUGUCAAGUCACUUCGUAUUUCCACCAAUGGAGUACGAGACUGUUAAACUAAAAGAUAGUAACUGUGAAUUUGGCAAUAGAGUCAUGAAUGAAGAUGUAAUCCCCGGUGAUGAAAAGGGUAACACCACCAAUAAGACUCUUGAAGAAAGCUUUAAGACUAAAUUGGAUGGCAGCCUACAUGGGAUUCAGUUUUCUGAGAAAGACAAGGAUCCUUCGUUUGGUGGCAUAGACAUUGGAGAAGGGAAGGCAACACAAGAAAUGAGCUUGGUUUUGGAAGAAGAGAUGCUGUUAAAUUCUCAUGGAAUUAAUGAUGAUCAUGCUGAAACUGGUAUGAGUGGAUCGUUUCCUUGUAAUGAGCAAGCUGAUGAUUCCAAGCCUAUUAAUCCUUCUUAUCAAUCUCCAGAUUCUCCUCUAAGUUAUCCAAAUGCAUCAAGUCAGAUAGCAGAAAAUAAAAAUGACAGGUUUAGCCUUCCAUGUGGAGCAUGGUGGAAGAGGCAUGCAAUAACUUUAUAUAAUCAUGCAAAGGAAGCAAAUACAAUGUGGUCUGUAAUAGUGGUAGCUUCAUUAAUGGGCCUUGCAAUUCUAGGGCAACGGAAACAACAAGAAAAACCUCAGCUUCAGCAACUUCAAUUGCGUCUAAGCACCAAUGGUCAGUGCAUAAACCUGAUGCUGGGACCAAUGAACAAGCUUGAAAGCAUUUUAGCAACUGAUCAUCAUCAUGGUUCUGCACUUGGAUCUGCUGCACCCAAUGUUGAAGGCAACCGUUGACAAUGAUGAUGGUGACGACAAAUAUAGGUGGUGGGGUGUGCAUGUAACCGGCAGAAUACAACUGUUUGCAUACUGUAGCUAUUACAUACUACUGGCUUUAGACAUGGAAUCUCUGGGUUUAAGCAAUCCAUGGUCUCGCAGCUGAUUCUCCAAACUUGAUACAGUUUUCCAGAGUACAAGGGAUUGAUAUUUUUUUCCUUAUUUUGUUUCUUUUUUCUCUGGAAUACUUAAAGGAAGGCAGCCUUGUAGUCGUUCUAGCACUCCCUCGCAUGAUAUUUUAGGCAUACAUAUCUAAGGAAAUGUUCACAACAAAAGAAUAAGGGGAAAAAUGGUUGUUCUAAGGCACAAAAGGUUUGAUGAAAGGAAGGACAACCCUGAGCAGAGGAAGGACAAAUUGCAUAAUCUUUCAAUUUCUCGCAACAAAAAAAAGGCUACGUUUUGUAUAAUGUGCUUUACAUUAAAUUCCUCGGGCCAAUCUUCUCGGAAUGUAGUAUACUCAUGGUAUCAUUUUCAUCUCUGGUUAUCUCUGCUUUCUCAGAUUUUUAUACAACUUGAUUAGGGCUUGUUUUUCCCAAAGUGGUUUUAGCUAAAGUUUCUGAGGUGGAUUCUGCAAUAUAUUUGUGUGUUUUAUACAAAUAUGAACAAGAAAUUGAUAAAAAUCUCAGCUUAAACACACAAGGAAUAUAUGCCUCAUCCGGUGGUUGUUCUUUUGGUGUCACUGCCUCUAUUUUAGAUGUGUUGCUGCGGAUGUGGUAAGCUACUCUUCUGUAAGUUCUUCACUGCUAUAAGGUCGAGUUGAAGACUUGCCAUCUGCAGAUACAGACUAACACUGCUAUUUUGUGCCGCAGUGAAGGUUCGAACAAACACCAAAAUAAGAGAGCAGGAUGGCAUGCGGAGGAAGAUCAAAAGAAUGUGGCUAUCUGGAGCAUCAUCUCAAGAAAGAACCACACUGAUACCAAAGGAAUGUGGCUAUCUGGAGCAUCAUCUCAAGAAAGAUGAUGUUAAAGAAAACCAUAAUUAAUUGGAAGGAAGAGGAGGAGACCUUUUCGGGCGUGGAUCUUCAGCGGCACAGUGGAGCCGAUCUGCUUCAGACCGCUCCACGGCGGGGGGCGACCGAUGCCGAAUCCG